rnacentral:rRNA from 2 species
CCUAAUACAUGCAAGUCGAGCGGUAGAGAGGUGCUUGCACCUCUUGAGAGCGGCGGACGGGUGAGUAAUACCUAGGAAUCUGCCUGGUAGUGGGGGAUAACGUUCGGAAACGGACGCUAAUACCGCAUACGUCCUACGGGAGAAAGCAGGGGACCUUCGGGCCUUGCGCUAUCAGAUGAGCCUAGGUCGGAUUAGCUAGUUGGUGAGGUAAUGGCUCACCAAGGCUACGAUCCGUAACUGGUCUGAGAGGAUGAUCAGUCACACUGGAACUGAGACACGGUCCAGACUCCUACGGGAGGCAGCAGUGGGGAAUAUUGGACAAUGGGCGAAAGCCUGAUCCAGCCAUGCCGCGUGUGUGAAGAAGGUCUUCGGAUUGUAAAGCACUUUAAGUUGGGAGGAAGGGCAUUAACCUAAUACGUUAGUGUUUUGACGUUACCGACAGAAUAAGCACCGGCUAACUCUGUGCCAGCAGCCGCGGUAAUACAGAGGGUGCAAGCGUUAAUCGGAAUUACUGGGCGUAAAGCGCGCGUAGGUGGUUUGUUAAGUUGAAUGUGAAAUCCCCGGGCUCAACCUGGGAACUGCAUCCAAAACUGGCAA